rnacentral:lncRNA from 1 species
CUCCGUCAAUCUGUGCAAAUGUGUGUUUUGUGGAGUUAUCUUACUCCAGACAAGAUGUUCUUGGCUGAACUUCAGGACAUCCUGAUUCUGUUUACAGGUGAAACCUUGGACAGGUUCCUUAGAUUUUCUGGUAAGUCUUGUUUUGGCGGAUGUCCAAGGCUGUCUCUCUCGUUGAUGUGUUUGUGGAUCUUAUAAAAAUCUCAUUUCAUCCCUGGGACUCUCUAGCCACAGUUCCCUUGAUUAAAGGAAUGCUUCUGCAGUGGCUAUUUAUAAGCUGCUCUCCAUUUCUGGUUCCUGAUCAUUCCCUCCUCUGUUGAGGUCACUUCAGCAUCCAGGCAAACUUGUUGGCCUCUCUCUCAAUAUGACCCAAUUUUGCUUUUCCUCUUAGGUCCACAUCUGGCACAUGGAGAAUAUCAAACUAGAAGGGCAGGCUGUUUCCAUGGCCACUUCUACUCUCUGCAAGGAUAGCCAUAGCCACAGUCUGUCACAUUUAGAAAGCCCAAGUUAAAGUUGGAUACAGUUCCUAUGUCCUCAGAGUCCAAGGGAUACAUGUCAGGUUCUACACAUGGUUCUUUUUAAGCUUCUCUUCAGUCAACUUGAGAUGAGAGAAAGAACUUUCCUUCCCAUCCCCACAGGAAGGAUGGACAUCACAGCACACCAUACACCUUUCCAAAGCAUUCUCCUCUACUGACCUUUUCAACUUCUUCCUGUAGCAAAGAGGUAGAUGGUGGGCCGAUAUUGGUAGAACUGCUUUUAUGAUC